UACGUAGGGUGCGAGCGUGUCCGGAAUUAUUGGGCGUAAAGGGCUCGUAGGCGGUUUGUCGCGUCGGGAGUGAAACUCAGGGCUUAACCCUGAGCCUGCUUCCGAUACGGGCAGACUAGAGGUAUGCAGGGGAGAACGGAAUUCCUGGUGUAGCGGUGAAAUGCGCAGAUAUCAGGAGGAACACCGGUGGCGAAGGCGGGUCUCUGGGCCGAUACUGACGCUGAGGAGCGAAAGCGUGG
rnacentral:rRNA from 1 species